AUUGAACGCUGGCGGCAUGCCUUACACAUGCAAGUCGAACGGCAGCAUGAUCUAGCUUGCUAGAUUGAUGGCGAGUGGCGAACGGGUGAGUAAUACAUCGGAACGUGCCCUGUAGUGGGGGAUAACUAGUCGAAAGAUUAGCUAAUACCGCAUACGACCUGAGGGUGAAAGUGGGGGACCGCAAGGCCUCAUGCUAUAGGAGCGGCCGAUGUCUGAUUAGCUAGUUGGUGGGGUAAAGGCCCACCAAGGCGACGAUCAGUAGCUGGUCUGAGAGGACGAUCAGCCACACUGGGACUGAGACACGGCCCAGACUCCUACGGGAGGCAGCAGUGGGGAAUUUUGGACAAUGGGGGCAACCCUGAUCCAGCAAUGCCGCGUGUGUGAAGAAGGCCUUCGGGUUGUAAAGCACUUUUGUCCGGAAAGAAAUCGCACUUACUAAUAUUAGGUGUGGAUGACGGUACCGGAAGAAUAAGGACCGGCUAACUACG
rnacentral:rRNA from 1 species